rnacentral:lncRNA from 1 species
CGGUCCCCAGCUCCGAAAAAAGAAAAAAAAAAGACAGGAUUUCAUUGUGUAGUCUAGACUGUCCUUGAAAAUGCAAUUGUUCUCCCUCUCUGCCUUCCAAGUUCUAGAAUCCUAGACUUAAAACAGGUAUGUACUGGGCUGGAGAUAUGGCUCAGUGGUUAAGAGCACCAACUACUCUUCCAGAGGUCCUGAGUUCAAAUCCCAGCAACCACAUGGUGGCUUACAACCACCUCUUCUGGUGUGCAUGAAGAUAGCAACAGUGUACUUAUAUAUAAUAAAUAAAUCUUUACAAAACAAAAAACAAACAGGUGUGUACUAACACACUUAGCAGGUCUUUUUCUUAAAGCACCUGCUGCCUGUCUAUAAAUGUUAAGACUGAAAGUAGGCAUUUAAGAGAGUAUUCCAGCCUCAAACACAGCAGACUUGGGGCCAGAUUCAAGUAAUACAGCAUCAGCCUGUCUCAGAAGAAGGCAAGAAAGGCCAGAGAAGCAGCUAUGACCCAGAGAGCAUAUCUUGACUCAAUUCUGUGAAGUGGAAGUUUUCACUUUAUAGCCUUGAUUGGCUUGUAAUUUGCUAUGUAUAGACCCUGGCUGUCCUUGAACUCAGAUCUAACUGCCUCUGCAUCUUGAGUACUGAGAUUAAAGGUAUAUGCCACCUUGCCCAGCAAAGAGGAUACUUAAAAAAAAAAUUAUCUCAGUUUCUUAUAGACCAUAUACUAAUAGCUAUACUGUACAGAAGUCUUUUUGGUCCUCUGUAAUUUGGGUGUCCUACCAAAAGCACGGAGAGGCACUUGUUCCGAGUGCACGGAUUAGCCAGGGUCCUUCAGCAAAUCACUGCACCUCAGUCCUAGUUAAAGCGUGUCCUAUUUGUACCCAGACUUUUUCCUGAAAAUAACUUUGUCGAUGUUCUAAAAAUAGCAGUUCUUUGCUUUUUUUUAUCUUUUCAUUUUAGAUUUGAUGGUAGAGUGGUGGCAAAGCUCCCCUUCACUCCUCUCUCUUACAUCCAAGGACUGUCUCACCGAAACCUGCUGGGCGAUGACACCACAGACUGCUCCUUCAUCUUCCUGUAUAUUCUCUGUACUAUGUCCAUUCGACAAUUUAGGAGUGUUCACUGCUCUGGAGGUGAUGGGACCUGGGAGAAUGGAGCCUAAAAACGAGGCGGAUGCAUGCAAUAGCCAGCUUUCUUCAGAGCAUCAGACACUUUCUACUCUCAAGCUUGAGAAGAGUCACAUGAGUAAAGUGCAGAAUCACAAGGACAAGCCAAACGUGGAAAAAACGUAAGCCAGUAACAAUAGCCAGCUAUAACGUCAGCUGAGCUCAGUCCUCUCCAUUUCACCUGAGAGAAGCAUGAAAACACAGUCCAAGAACAACUCAGUUUUGAGGUCAGAAAACUCUUGUCUUGUUUCUUAGGGUUUUCUCACAAGUCCCUACAUGAAAGUCCAUUUUUGGAUAGUGUUCUAACAAUAUCAAUAAUACAGUGAGUUUAAGGUAUUUACAGUUAAGUCCAGGUACUAAGAACUUGAGUUUUUUGUCAGGGUUAACAGUGAAUUCUAGGCUUCAUACUAUGUUAGGAAAGAAACUAAAAAUAAGUAAGUUAAAAGCUUUUGGACUAUUGGCUCGGAUUCUAGGUGGAAAUCCAACCCUGAGGGACAAUAGCAGUAGUUUGUGCCUGUCCCCACCUCUGUGUGUGCAAAAUGCAACAGGAGUUAGAAACCUGCUACAGGGACACAGUGACCACAGGGAAUUGCUGUACAAACUAGGAUUUUGUAUAAAAAGAUGAUUUGAAUUGUGUCCUGGAGGAUGAGGAACAGACUUAGCACUUUUCUUGACAGAGGAGGCAGCAGGAGUGAAAGCUUGGAGGUGUGGUGGGGAUGCAGGGACCGUAAGUCCGUUGUUGGUGAGAGGAAUGAGUCUGAGUCAGAGAUGAAGGCUAACACUGAGGAUGGCCUUUUGUGAGGCAUUUGUACCUCACAGUACACGCUGGCUCUGUCAGUGUUUCCUAUGGGAUUGCUCAGUAGCUGCUGCCGCUGCCGCUGCUGCCAUUGCCGCCGUGGCUGCCUCCUUUCCUGUUUCUGGUCAUUUGUUUGUUUUCAGGGCUGUUGUUAGUGAGGUUCAUUACUAGGUGGAUUGCUGUUCUCCUGAACCUUAUUCCAGUUAUUUGUAUUGAGGCUAUUAUAAAUCAAUUCUCAGUGUUAUUAGAGAAAAGUGCAGAGAAAAGCCAUUGAUUUUCGUAUGCUCAUUUUGUCCUUCUAGUUUGCUGAAUUUGUUUGUCAUUUCUUUGCAGUACACAGAGACAGCCCUUGUGACACGGGACACCCUUGCUUGUUUCUUCUCAGGGCUCUCUGGUGGAGAAUUUAACUGCAGGCAGGAUGGUCGCUCACAUCUCGUUUCUCUUCCCUGUCUGGCCUGCCUUAGACUUCAGGCACUACUUUAGUAAGAGUAGAAGUAGGU